rnacentral:lncRNA from 1 species
CGCACUAGGCGACUCCAACACCUCCAUCUCAUCCAUCCCAACCCGAUGAAGAGGCCAAGCCGCCACCUACGGCCAGCCCUCGGGCCGUCUUGCUUGACCACGCUCAGGGUGCGCCGCCGGCUCUCGAGGCCUCUUGCUCCGACCCCACAUAGGGCGCGCAAGCGACUGGGGCCGAGGAGGAGACCCAGGUGGAGCACGCCAUCUCUGUCGACCGGAGGAGCACCAGGUAUUUCACUCAAAUAGUCGACGCCGCGAGAGGGAGAUAGAAGUAGAAGUGGAGGCAGAAGCAAGAGGAAGGUGGACCUCGAGGUGUCGCGGCGCUCGGGCCUUGGUAGACUACGCCGCCCCUUUGCUCUCGCGCCGCCAGGGCCCUCUUGCUCUCAGGUUCCUCUCUCUCUCUCUCUCUAUCUCUCUCUCUCUCUCUCUCUCUCUCUCUCCUAUGCAUCUCCAUCAAUGGCCACUGUCUGAUUUGUUGUUGAUUUGGUAGGACAAUCUUGGCUGACUACUUGGUCCUGCUGUGGUUGGUUCCGGAUCUGACUGCACACCUCCCGUCCGUUGUCCGCCGUUUGCUCGCUGGCCGCCAUUAGAAAGGUUCGUUCUUCCAUCCUUGUUUCUCCUUCCAGACGUCCCGCUCUUCGCACCUCAUGCAUGUUUGUUGGUUUCGGCUGCACAGGGUGGUUGUGAGGGUUUGGUGCCAGGGUCAUUGAUGGGUCAGUGGUUGUUGUUCCUUCAAAUUUAAUCGUCCUUCCUCCUGCAUCUCUGGCUAAGGUGCUUAUCUUCAUGGCCCACUCUAUGAGUGGUUGAUUGGUUAGUUUAUUGUACCCGCCGACUGUGAAAUCCAGGAUGAUUUGUGAUUCCUGUUGUCAUUCAGUUUGUCAUUAGUUGCCAUUUGCAUGUGUGGUCGGCUUCAAGUGUAUUUGAUUGGUCUGUAUACGAUAUGUAAGGUUGAUGAUAGUCUUAUACAUGUUUCGAUUAGUACGUGAUCUGUGCAAAAUUAUGACUGAACAUGUAGAGAUGGGGGUACUGUGUGAACAUUAAAUCCCAUUAAGCAAUUCAAAUCUUGGCGAAUAUGACAUCCCAGUUUUACGAGCUAUUGUUGUCAGCUUCUUCCAAGUUGAAUUCGAUUAAAAAGUGAACGUCAUGUUUCUCUAAUGACCGCCAAAAAAUGUUUUCUUUGCAAUGCCAUUGUUGUAGGGUUCUGACUCUAGAUGGUUCUUCCUAAAUUUGUUCUAAGCAUAUUUAAGGUUUUCUUAUUACUGUAUUUUUAUCAUGGCUAUAUUCUUUAAUAGCCACCAUAGUACUGAUUGAUGAUUGGUUUUUGGAACAGAUCUUGCCAAACAAAAAAUUAGACCACAAUUGAUGUAUGAAGAUCUAUUUGUAGAUUGCCGUAACGCACAAGGAGAGUCUCACUGCCACUUUGGAGCACAUAAACCACCCUUUCGUCUCAGUUUUGAUUUGAAGACCACCCUGAUCAUUUGAGAUUUGGAUUGUCUGUGCAGAUUUUAUUGGUAGUUGGCAGGUCUGGCCCAUCCACAAUAUUUCCUAUCUUCUAUACUUGUAUGCUCAUGAUAAUGUUGUUUCAAACAUUUUAGAUAUUUCUUUGGGAUAUUGCCUUUAUGCAUAUAUAUCUCACAAACUGUUGUCUGCCGAAGUUAUCGAGAAAUAUUUGGUUUGGUUUGUUCUUUUUAGAUGUUUAUGCGGUAAGGAUUCUUUGUUUCACUGUUCAUGUUACUUAUGCCUGGUAGCUCAAUGGGAGAAAGUUAUAUAGUUAUCUUCCAGGUAUCAUGUUGAAGUAACUAUUUUCUAAAUCUCUAGCCUUCUCUUAGUUUGGAUUAUUCAAAAUCCUUUUCGUCAUUAGAAGAAGCUGAUGAUUAGUUCUUAUGUUUUUUUAAAGCCGUG